AGAAUCAACGCUGGCGGCGUGCCUAACACAUGCAAGUCGAACGAGAAAGUGGAGCAAUCCAUGAGUACAGUGGCGCACGGGUGAGUAACACGUGACUAACCUACCCUUGAGUGGGGAAUAACCUGGAGAAAUCUAGGCUAAUACCGCAUAACACCUACGGGUCAAAGGAGCAAUUCGCUUAAGGAGGGGGUCGCGGCAGAUUAACUAGUUGGCGGGGUAAUGGCCCACCAAGGCAGUGAUCUGUA
rnacentral:rRNA from 1 species